UACGUAGGGUGCGAGCGUUGUCCGGAAUUAUUGGGCGUAAAGGGCUCGUAGGCGGUCUGUCGCGUCGGAAGUGAAAACUCAGGGCUUAACCCUGAGCCUGCUUCCGAUACGGGCAGACUAGAGGUAUGCAGGGGAGAACGGAAUUCCUGGUGUAGCGGUGAAAUGCGCAGAUAUCGGGAGGAACACCGGUGGCGAAGGCGGUUCUCUGGGCCUGUACUGACGCUGAGGUGCGAAAGCGUGGGGAGCAAACAGG
rnacentral:rRNA from 1 species